rnacentral:rRNA from 1 species
GGAGGAAGGUGGGGAUGACGUCAAGUCAUCAUGCCCCUUAUGUCCAGGGCUUCACACAUGCUACAAUGGCCGGUACAAAGGGCUGCGAUGCCGUGAGGUUUAGCGAAUCCUUUUAAAGCCGGUCUCAGUUCGGAUCGGGGUCUGCAACUCGACCCCGUGAAGUCGGA